UACGUAGGGUGCAAGCGUUGUCCGGAAUUAUUGGGCGUAAAGAGCUCGUAGGUGGCCUGUCGCGUCGGCUGUGAAAACUCGGGGCUCAACUCCGAGCUUGCAGUCGAUACGGGCAGGCUAGAGUUCGGCAGGGGAGACUGGAAUUCCUGGUGUAGCGGUGAAAUGCGCAGAUAUCAGGAAGAACACCCGUGGCGAAGGCGGUUCUCUGGGACGGUACUGACGCUGAGACGCGAAAGCGUGGGGAGCGAACAGG
rnacentral:rRNA from 1 species